GUGCUUGCUUUGAUGGUACACAUAUUAAAAUUGGACCAAUACAAAGAGUAACAUGGCCCUGCACAAGGGUGACACACAAAUUCUUGAAGCAUUUCAUUUUUUU
rnacentral:snRNA from 1 species